GGUGAAUAUUCUUUUUUUUUUGAAGGGUGAAACACAAGAUCUACUGUUGAUUACAGUAGAAAGAUAUAAGUUUUCUAUUCUUCAAUGGGAUCUGAUUGCAAAAAAAAAUUGAUACAAGAUCAAUUUGUGAUAUAUCAACCUCAAGCCCCUUAGAAGGAUCAAGCUCAAAUAGUUCAAGCUCAAGCUCAUACACCUCUGAUGGAACAAGCUAAGACACAAUAGAUGAUGCAAUUCCAUACACCUCAGCUGGUCAGGCAGUCAUAGGCGACCCCGAUUGUAGAGCCAUUGUACUCCAUAUGUAUUUGGAACGGAUUAAGGUAGUAGUCCUUACUCACAAUUGUUAUUCUCUCGAAAAGGUUCAAAUUAAUAUUUUAUCCAAACCUUAUGGUUUCUAUCAGAAAAUAAAUUAUAAUAAUUAGGUCUUUUCCGGAUAAAAAUAUAAUGGGACACAAUAUAUGUUGGGUACUUGAUACAUGAUGAGGUCACUCAU